AUGGGAAGUUUUUUAUGUUGUAACCGAAGAAAGAAGAAACCUGAAAACACUGAUAAUGACAAUCAGACAGAAACAGCAGCAGACACAAAGACAGAAGAUGUGCUCUAUGCCUCCAUUGACCACGGUAACAUCAGUCCAAACAGACCUGUUCGAGACAACGUGGAGGACAACGACUGUGAUUAUGCUGUUGUAAAGCUCCCUCAAAUCACAACAGACACGUCCAAGCACAAAAUCAUCGAGGACAGUUCAGAUGAUUAUGUGCUCAUGGGCUGA
ensembl:lncRNA